AAUCACAGUUGAGGAAACUCGU
rnacentral:miRNA from 2 species